rnacentral:rRNA from 1 species
UUGCUGGAGGUAUCAGAAGUGCGAAUGCUGACAUAAGUAACGAUAAAGCGGGUGAAAAGCCCGCUCGCCGGAAGACCAAGGGUUCCUGUCCAACGUUAAUCGGGGCAGGGUGAGUCGACCCCUAAGGCGAGGCCGAAAGGCGUAGUCGAUGGGAAACGGGUUAAUAUUCCCGUACUUGGUGUUACUGCGAAGGGGGGACGGAGAAGGCUAUGUUGGCCGGGCGACGGUUGUCCCGGUUUAAGCGUGUAGGUGUGUGUUCCAGGUAAAUCCGGUUCACUUUAACACUGAGGCGUGACGACGAGGCACUACGGUGCUGAAGCAACAAAUGCCCUGCUUCCAGGAAAAGCCUCUAAGCAUCAGGUAACAUCAAAUCGUACCCCAAACCGACACAGGUGGUCAGGUAGAGAAUACCAAGGCGCUUGAGAGAACUCGGGUGAAGGAACUAGGCAAAAUGGUGCCGUAACUUCGGGAGAAGGCACGCUGACAUGUAGGUGAAGUGAUUUACUCAUGGAGCUGAAGUCAGUCGAAGAUACCAGCUGGCUGCAACUGUUUAUUAAAAACACAGCACUGUGCAAACACGAAAGUGGACGUAUACGGUGUGACGCCUGCCCGGUGCCGGAAGGUUAAUUGAUGGGGUCAGCGCAAGCGAAGCUCCUGAUCGAAGCCCCGGUAAACGGCGGCCGUAACUAUAACGGUCCUAAGGUAGCGAAAUUCCUUGUCGGGUAAGUUCCGACCUGCACGAAUGGCGUAAUGAUGGCCAGGCUGUCUCCACCCGAGACUCAGUGAAAUUGAACUCGCUGUGAAGAUGCAGUGUACCCGCGGCAAGACGGAAAGACCCCGUGAACCUUUACUAUAGCUUGACACUGAACAUUGAGCCUUGAUGUGUAGGAUAGGUGGGAGGCUUUGAAGUGUGGACGCCAGUCUGCAUGGAGCCGACCUUGAAAUACCACCCUUUAAUGUUUGA